rfam:Hordeum vulgare subsp. vulgare, WGS project CAJW01000000 data, contig: morex_contig_9666
UAUAUACUCCCUUCGUUCAAAAAUAUUUGUCGUAGGAAUGAAUGUAUCUAGAUGUAGAUUAGUUUUAGAUACAUUUAUUUUUAUCAAUUUGUACGACAAGUAAUUUCGGACGGAGGGAGUAAUAA